UACUAUUUAAUAAGUAUAUAGUGUAAACGUCCUGCCACCAUCUGCCGAGCUCUGAACAGGUACGUCCUCCCGCUUCCGCUCGUCGCCUCCUCCGGAGUCCACCCCCGGUUUCGAUAUCAACCCCACGCCCUUCCUCUCCUGCCUGGUGCCGCGCCGCCAGCACCACCGUGUCGUCCUUCCUCGUCAUCCGCCGCCGACCCCAACCCCAAGCACACCCAACGCCGCCGCCGCCGCUACCGGAGGCAGCGCUACCGCAUCCACACUCCCGAAACCUAGCCUGAGCAUUAAUGGGGAAGCCAACCGCUCCUCUCUGCUCCCCUCCCGCACCAGCACCGGAGUGGCGCGAGUGCCACCGUCUAUCCCGCCCGCUCCUCCCCAGAUCUCCCCGCCAUUGCCACUCCCUCGCCCAGAUCUGCCUCCGGGCCCUGGUUUCUCGAGCCGACACAGGAGCGGUGCUCCGGGCGGCGUGAUCCCGGCUGUUUGAUCGGAAAGUUUUGAUCUUUGGGCUCGUUCGUUGGUUUCUUUGUUUGUUGGCGCUCUGUUUGGAUGGCGGCGGAGAUGGGUGUGGGAGGGGAGAAGUUCUAGCUGCGGACGGUGGGGGCGCUGAGCCUCUCCGUGGUGUCCUCCGUCUCCAUUGUCAUCUGCAUCAAGGCGCUCAUGAGCUCCCUCAGCUGCAACUUCGGUAUGAGAUUUGACUGUUUCUUGCGUUCCAGUUUCUUGAUUCGUUACAUGUGUGUUCGUGCAGGAUGGUCUGUGAUUCGCGUAGAUCUGCGUGCUCCAUUGGGGCUGUAGGUCUGGUGCAUGAUGCUCGCGCAGGGUUCAAAACUUCAAAUGGUGCUGAAGGGGUUAGCUUCGGUGAUAACUUCGAGAGAGGACUAGGAGUGCCAAUUGAUCUCUGUUGAAACUUUAAACUAUCAUUGAUUGUGCCAUUUGAUUGUGAACGGUGAAACACGUGUGUUCUUGGAACUAACUUGCUUUUGGUUGAAGCUUUGAUGGUUGUGGAUGUUCGGGAUCAGAUUUGCUUGUCUGUGAAGGAGGUUGGGUAGCAUGUCCUGGUUUCUUUUUUACUUAGGUUCCUUGACACGAGGGAGUAUCUUUGUUUGCUCUGGUGCUGCAUUUGAAUUUUGUCAGGAGUGUAUGCACCCAUGCACCGUAUGAAGAACUUGCUAACUUCGACUUCUGUCUUUGUUGCCUUGAAUUGCAAGAUUUCAUAUUGCAAAGAUACUUUAAAUUUUAUUCAGAGCAAGGCUAUUCUGAAAUAUGUAACGUUGAUUUGAAUGACUCUUAUAUAUAUUUCUUUGUAAUUGUGUCUUGCAGCCACUACCUUGACGAGCUGGCAUCUCCUGGUCACAUUCUGCUCCCUUCAUGUAGCAUUAUGGAUGAAAUUCUUUGAGCAUAAGCCUUUUGAUUCAAGAACUGUUAUGGGAUCCUCAACUUGAGUCUUGGCUUCAAUUCUGUUGGUUUUUACCAGACGCUGUAGGUCCUCUACAUGGUGCUGUGCGAUGUUGACUCAACCAACGCAACGACAUGGAAUAAUCAACGACCUCACACCACUUUGCGUCUUAUUGCGUUUUUUAAUUGUGAUGACAUAUAUCUAUCCUGCUUGACAAUGCGCAGGAACAUUGUUGUUGGCUAGUCAUUCCUCUCCGUACAUCGAGUGCCUCAGGGACCUCUGUCUUAGCAUUGACAUAUGGAAGGGUUUUAUCAGAGCAUCAGACACACGUAGAAUAUGUGAGCAAUAUUCUUUCGUGACAAUGACGAGUUUAUUCCUUUUGAUUGGUCAUUUUUUCUCAGUAGCAUGAGAUAGUAGGAAGCACAGUUUAUUCUUUUUUUUAGUGUUGUCUAUGUCCUUAAAGUGGAUGCCAAAAUUGCUUGUUUGAUUAUGAUUACACAAUAGUGUAAGAUUUUGCAAUCUGCCAAAUGCCAAAAAAUCACCUUGGAUUGUGUGGCAUUUCUAAUAGUCUGGAAUUGUAUAAUAAUGAUUUUAAAGUGAUUAUAUGUAAUCCUUGCAUGGUUUGAA